UAGGGGGUUAUCAGGAAAUAAGGAAGAAAGGCCUACAUGUCGGAAUUACAUAGAGAUAUCAACGCACCGCGCAAUUUUACAUCAUCUAGAAGACUCCAGAAGCCACGAGACCGAAGCAGAGGCAAAACUGGGCCAGGCCCAGGGCGCCCGCCCUGGUAGCCUGGGCGCCCGCCCCCCUGCUGGAGCCAAAUCAGGACUAUUUCGUUCGGGAUAUUCCACCGACCUAUUGGAUCAAGAAAAACAUAGUACCACCUCGGCUAUCGACCCAAAAACGCAUAGAAGGGGAGGACUAUAUAAGCAAGGCCCCCCUGGCCCCUGGAGA
rnacentral:lncRNA from 1 species